ACUGCACACAGAAGCUCACUGAAAGCCUCUAUAUGAGCACAGAAUUAGACCUACUUUGGUAUUAAAUUUGGAGUAACUAAAAACAACUCUGUGAAAGUGAAGUCAUGUGGCCUGUGCUCAUAUAGACUCCAGCUGUCCUGCAGUGAGCAUCUGUAUAUGAUGAAGAGUUUUCAGCUUUCUUAUUUCCAGCUCCUGUGUCUUCUAACAGCAGCGUUAUUAGAAUGUAAAGCUGAAACAGAGAGACCCUGCAAGCAGGUUUAUCAGUUGAACAUAAGCCAUUUACACGGUGACAGGAUGUCUAUUUCUUGCCAAACAACACCCCACCCGCUGGAGUCUCUAACGGUCAAACUACGCAGUAUCAACCCGCUUAAAGACAUCCUGAAUUAUCCAGACACCUCUUCAGCAUCAGAGCACCAGAGAUGGUCUGUGAGGAAUGAUUCUGGAAAUGUUACAUUUGAUCUGAAAGACAUCAGAUCAUCCGAUGGUGGCCUUUAUGACUGUCAGGUCUACAAGGAUCAGGACUGCCUUCAUUCAACUCGAUUUAACCUGAGUAUUAUAAUGUGUAAAACUUUGAACUCUGUCCAUGCAACACUAAACUCGUCAGUGUUGCUGCCGUGCUCUGAACAUCCUCUACACAACAGAACUGAACAAGUCACUUGGAAAGUUGUUAGUGGUCAUCAAUCAACGGAUAUAUUCCAGUAUCGAGGUCCAUACAAGCCCUCCAGCAGCACAGAGAAACCCCUGUAUGAGAGAGUGAGAGAACUAAAUAACGGAUCUUUGCUUAUAAGGAAUGCAGUACACACUGAUGAAUUGUGGUAUCGGUGCAGAGUGAAUGAAAAAACCUGCUAUGAGAUGAGGCUGGUGAUGAAAGCUCAUAAUACAUCUCAUUCCACAACAUUGGUAACCACAGAUGUUGUUUCAGCCUCUGCUGACAGUCUUGCUGGCCUGGCCGAAAGCAACAGUGAUGGGAGUGAAACAGUGACAACUAAUCUGACAGUAGUAGUGAUGACCACAGUAGUGUCUCUGUGUGUCCUCAUAUUACUGACCGUCUGUGCCAUUCUUUAUUUCAAAAAACAAAGACGCAAAACCAACAGCCAAUUACAGUUAAACAGUCAGUUCUCUGUAUAUUACUCCCGUGUUGCAGAAGGGUUUGAUGUCCCGUUGUAUUCUUUAGUUGAACAAAACUCAGGAACAAUGAUCACCUGUAAGUUACUGCAAAGUAUUAUUUGUAUACACAUUCUACACUGAAAAUGUAACCUUAUUGAAUUGAUGAAAUUAAACAUCAGUUUGUUUAAACAAUAUAGACAGAAUUUGCAAAUGUAAACAUGAUUCAAAUAAUACAUUAACUGAUCUCAUUACUCUUUAAUAAUGUCAGGUGGUGUCAAAAUGAAUUUUUGAACUUUAUCUCCCAACAGUUGGUGCUGAACAAUCAGAAGCUCCGGCAGAUAAACCAGAUGACAUGUAUGAAAAGUUAACAUUUUGAAAUGAAUAAUGGCGUUUUUAAUGUUUUUUGACAUCAGAGUCUUUGAGUAAUCACUGAUUAUAUGGCAUUUGUCACAAAUUAUAAUAAAGGGUAACAUCUUUUAUCCA
ensembl:lncRNA